CACGGGCUUGUCGAGGCCGAACUCCCGCUUCAGGCGGGCGGCGGUCGCGGGGUCGCACCUGCGGUCGCCGCACAGGCCCGCGAC
rnacentral:tRNA from 1 species